rnacentral:rRNA from 1 species
GUCGNACGGUGAGCCCAGCUUGCUGGGUGGAUCAGUGGCGAACGGGUGAGUAACACGUGAGCAACCUGCCCCUGACUCUGGGAUAAGCGCUGGAAACGGCGUCUAAUACUGGAUAUGUGACUCGACCGCAUGGUCUGUGUCUGGAAAGAAUUUCGGUUGGGGAUGGGCUCGCGGCCUAUCAGCUUGUUGGUGAGGUAAUGGCUCACCAAGGCGUCGACGGGUAGCCGGCCUGAGAGGGUGACCGGCCACACUGGGACUGAGACACGGCCCAGACUCCUACGGGAGGCAGCAGUGGGGAAUAUUGCACAAUGGGCGCAAGCCUGAUGCAGCAACGCCGCGUGAGGGAUGACGGCCUUCGGGUUGUAAACCUCUUUUAGCAGGGAAGAAGCGAAAGUGACGGUACCUGCAGAAAAAGCGCCGGCUAACUACGUGCCAGCAGCCGCGGUAAUACGUAGGGCGCAAGCGUUAUCCGGAAUUAUUGGGCGUAAAGAGCUCGUAGGCGGUUUGUCGCGUCUGCUGUGAAAUCCGGAGGCUCAACCUCCGGCCUGCAGUGGGUACGGGCAGACUAGAGUGCGGUAGGGGAGAUUGGAAUUCCUGGUGUAGCGGUGGAAUGCGCANAUAUCAGGAGGAACACCGAUGGCGAANGCAGAUCUCUGGGCCGUAACUGACGCUGAGGAGCGAAAGGGUGGGGAGCAAACAGGCUUANAUACCCUGGUAGUCCACCCCGUAAACGUUGGGAACUAGUUGNGGGGUCCAUUCCACGGAUUCCG